UUAGAGUUUGAUCCUGGCUCAGAACGAACGCUGGCGGCAGGCUUAACACAUGCAAGUCGAACGCAUCCUUCGGGGUGAGUGGCAGACGGGUGAGUAACGCGUGGGAAUCUACCCAUCCCUACGGGAUAGCUCCGGGAAACUGGAGAUAAUACCGUAUACGUCCUCCGGGAGAAAGAUUUAUCGGGGAUGGAUGAGCCCGCGUUGGAUUAGCUAGUUGGUGGGGUAAUGGCCUACCAAGGCGACGAUCCAUAGCUGGUCUAAGAGGAUGAUCAGCCACAUUGGGACUGAGACACGGCCCAAACUCCUACGGGAGGCAGCAGUGGGGAAUAUUGGACAAUGGGCGCAAGCCUGAUCCAGCCAUGCCGCGUGAGUGAUGAAGGCCCUAGGGUUGUAAAGCUCUUUCAGUGGGGACGAUAAUGACGGUACCCACA
rnacentral:rRNA from 1 species